rnacentral:rRNA from 1 species
UACGAAGGGGGCUAGCGUUGUUCGGAAUCACUGGGCGUAAAGGGCGCGUAGGCGGCUUUAUAAGUCGGGGGUGAAAGCCUGUGGCUCAACCACAGAAUUGCCUUCGAUACUGUAUGGCUUGAGACCGGAAGAGGUAAGUGGAACUGCGAGUGUAGAGGUGAAAUUCGUAGAUAUUCGCAAGAACACCAGUGGCGAAGGCGGCUUACUGGUCCGGUUCUGACGCUGAGGCGCGAAAGCGUGGGGGAGCAAACAGG